rfam:Pseudomonas putida CSV86 contig00107, whole genome shotgun sequence.
GGCGGCCGGGCCAUUGCAGCAGUCGAUCAACGCAUGCUGCCUGCAAUGACUCCCGGCCACC